rnacentral:rRNA from 1 species
GGGGAAUUUUGGACAAUGGGCGCAAGCCUGAUCCAGCCAUGCCGCGUGCAGGAUGAAGGCCUUCGGGUUGUAAACUGCUUUUGUACGGAACGAAAAGACUCCUUCUAAUAAAGGGGGUCCAUGACGGUACCGUAAGAAUAAGCACCGGCUAACUACGUGCCAGCAGCCGCGGUAAUACGUAGGGUGCAAGCGUUAAUCGGAAUUACUGGGCGUAAAGCGUGCGCAGGCGGUUAUAUAAGACAGAUGUGAAAUCCCCGGGCUCAACCUGGGAACUGCAUUUGUGACUGUAUAGCUAGAGUACGGCAGAGGGGGAUGGAAUUCCGCGUGUAGCAGUGAAAUGCGUAGAUAUGCGGAGGAACACCGAUGGCGAAGGCAAUCCCCUGGGCCUGUACUGACGCUCAUGCACGAAAGCGUGGGGAGCAAAC